rnacentral:rRNA from 1 species
GAGUUUGAUCAUGGCUCAGAAUCAACGCUGGCGGCGUGCCUCAGACAUGCAAGUCGAACGAUUAAAGCCCUCUUCGGAGGGUGCAUAAAGUGGCGCACGGGUGAGUAACACGUAAGUAAUCUACCUUCGAGUGGGGAAUAACGUUCGGAAACGAACGCUAAUACCGCAUAAUGCAGCGGCAUCGCAAGAUGACAGUUGUUAAAGAUUUAUCGCUUGAAGAGGAGCUUGCGGCAGAUUAGCUAGUUGGUAAGGUAACGGCUUACCAAGGCGACGAUCUGUAUCCGGUCUAAGAGGACGGUCGGACACACUGACACUGAAUAACGGGUCAGACUCCUACGGGAGGCAGCAGUCGGGAAUUUUGGGCAAUGGGCGAAAGCCUGACCCAGCAACGCCGCGUGAAGGAUGAAGUUUUUCGGAAUGUAAACUUCGUAAGAAUGGGAAGAAUAAAUGACGGUACCAUUUGUAAGGUCCGGCUAACUACGUGCCAGCCGCCGCUGUAAU